rnacentral:rRNA from 1 species
CCUACGGGUGGCUGCAGUGGGGGAUAUUGCACAAUGGAGGAAACUCUGAUGCAGCAACGCCGCGUGAAGGAAGAAGGUCUUCGGAUUGUAAACUUCUGUUCUUGGUGAAGAAAAAAAUGACGGUAGCCAAGGAGAAAGCCACGGCUAACUACGUGCCAGCAGCCGCGGUAAUACGUAGGUGGCAAGCGUUGUCCGGAUUUACUGGGUGUAAAGGGUGCGCAGGCGGGACUGCAAGUUGGAUGUGAAAUACUGAGGCUUAACCUCGGAAAUGCAUCCAAAACUGUGGUUCUUGAGUGAAGUAGAGGUAGGCGGAAUUCCGAGUGUAGCGGUGAAAUGCGUAGAUAUUCGGAGGAACACCAGUGGCGAAGGCGGCCUACUGGGCUUUAACUGACGCUGAGGCACGAAAGUGUGGGGAGCAAACAGGAUUAGAUACCCUUGUAGUC